UCUGUUUCACGCCAUUGACAUUGUCGAGAUGAUAAUGAGAUGCAUUGUACGUGAAUGCAUAUAAUUAAUAAUAACGCUAAAGAUACUGAUAUCUUCGUUCGGUUCAAAGUUUUUGUUUGUGUUUUACUUAAGUUUUAUCGAAUGAACAAUAUAUUUUUUUUAAACAAAAAACUCUUAGUAGAUUUUUUUAAUUUUGCUGCAAUAAUUAGGACUCGAUUUUUUUUUUUAACCGUAACUAAUUAUAAUGAAGCAUUCAGAAGUAUGUACAUACGUAUAUUAUUUUCAUUGUUUUAUUUAUUGGAACAAGCUAACCUUAUGAGUCAAUUAACUUCCGUGAUAUGUAUGAUGUCGAGCACAAAAAAAUUAGGGAUCCUUACUAAAACUCCAAUAAUGUAACCCAAGGUGUAAAAAAUCACCUAAAAUAUUCUUUAUAUCGCGUGCCCUACGAAAACUAUUGAUGAUAGAAUAAAAUAAUGUACUGCGACUUUGUAGAAAACAUUAUUAUUUAAAAAAAGUGUCGCGACAGCAUAUGUCUAACUAUUAUAGUUAUGGCGCAAUAAGUGUUCUUUUAUUUAAAAAAAUACGAAAACGUCAAAUAUCGUUGAAAUUUUUGUUAAAGACCCGAGCGGAGCCGGACCGGCCCCCUGAUCACGUAAAAAUUUGCGACAGCCACAAUUUUGCAGAUGUUGUGCAGACGCGUCGCGACCGAUCGCAAAACGUCAAAUUAUUUCGUAUCACGUACCGCGAUUGUUCGCUUACCGCUUACUGCAGUUUUCUGUCAUACAACUAGCGCCAGUCGCAAUCGGGUAGCAAUAAUUGGCACUAAAAAGCCACAUUACUUUUUUUUUUUUUGCUGAACAAACCGGCAAAUGAAUUUAUAAAAGCGCGUUACAUAUAAACAUUUUAAAAUGUUUAAGUGGAAUUCACGUUUGAAACGCCAAGUGAGAGCUGCUAAUUCUGUUCUUUUCGAUGAAGCGUUACUAAAAAUAAGUGAUCUAAUAAUAAUUUUUGCUUUAUUUUGAAUAAUAGCUACAAAAAUGUAAUUGUGUCAUGUCAAACACUGAUAACAUUUUUUUUUGUAAUCGUUUGAUAAUUUGUAAUCAGAUAGUUGUUUACGUUACGAACCUAUUUUAAAAAAGAAUGGAUCAAAAUUAUAGCCUAAUUUAUUAAUUUCAUUAUCAAUUAAGUAAGUACAUAAGCUCACAACCCAUCUAGUGUUAAGUGGUAUAGACUUCACAACGUGAAUGCCACCCCCAUUUUUAGAAACGAGGUCUGAGUUUCAACUGUAUACCAAAACGGCUGCCCCAUUCUUCAAAUUGCAACGCAUUACUGCUUCGCGGUAGAAAUGGGCGGAAUGGUGGUCUUGCGGGUUAAUCAAACGCCCUACCACCAACGAUUUCAGAAUAUUUGCUAAUUUGAUUUUAAAUAAAAGAUGAAUGAAUCCUUAAUCAUGGAAGUCUUCCAUGUAUACAUGUCAAAUAUGUGUUUCAUUGGAUUUAUUGAUAUCUGCCUGCGGGAUUCUAGCACUGGUUCAGUAAGAUUUCAAAUUAAAUAGUAAAUUCUAGAAUAAAUGAGUUAGUUUUAUGGUUUUAUCAAUAAUAAAGUGUACAACAGAUCCAUCUUACGCCGACAUGAGGCCGACAACGCUAGAACAACCAGUCGAUGAUAUUCUAGGUGAGAUGCUGCUAUUCUUUAUCAAGUAAUAGAUAGUGGAUUUGUUUGACUUGGCAAGAGUAGGCUUUGAUUUGAAUACCAGAAAUAUAGUGCUGUCUUUCACAGCUUGAAGGGAAAUAAAAGCUGUGCAGACUAUUCAUAAUAAUGUUCACCCAAGGUCAUGGGCAAUAUGACGUGAAUAGGAAACUGCAUGUCAGACAUUAACUUAAUGUUCUAUAUUAUUUUUAAACAAAUGAAUCUAAUAUUUUAAGACAAUAAAUAAAUAUUUAUUUUUAUAAUUAGCCCAGUUUUUCGUCGACGAAGCCAUCUUAAGAGAAGCUUCAUUGCAAAUAUCAGGCCGAUAUUUAACUAUAGCGGACAACAAACAAGAGUGGACACAUCGUGAGCUGUAGUUGUAGAAAGAGGAGAAAAUGGAAACUAAGGCGAACCACUGGCUCAUGCAGCUUUCAUUUCAGCAGAGGCUGUUCGUACGCAGGCAGAGGCCGCGCAUCUUUCAGCUGAGAUAUAUAAAAAAAUUCAAGGAAUUGACCAAUAUCGGCAAAAACCUUGUUUAAAAUAAUAAGUUCAAUUUUGUUUUAAUUUUAGCUGAGUCCAUAAUAGUUUAUAUUACCAUAAAAACGAAAUAGCGCUUGUUACAAUAGUCAAGCAAAUCCAAAUAUAUACGUUUUACUUUAGGCUGGUACUACAGUAAAUUUUAUGACACUAGUGAGUAUAUUUUACGCUAAUAAAACUACUCUCAACUUAGCAUUUCAAAAUGACUAUUUAUUUUUUUAUUGCUAAGAUGGGUGGACGAGCUUACAGCCCACCUGGUGUUAAGUGGUUACUGGAGCCCAUAGCCAUCUACAACGUAAAUGCGGCACCCACCUUGAGAUAUAAGUUCUAAGGUCUCAGUAUAGUUAUAACGGCUGCUCUACCCUUCAAAACGAAACGCAUUAAAGCUUCACGGUAGAAAUAGGCGGAGUGGUUGUACCUACUCGUGCGGACUCACAAGUGGUCCUACCACCAGUAGAAUACCAGUAUUUAGCUUCAUUGUAUAUUUUGUACUCACAGUAUUCGGCAUGUUCUGCUUCUAGUCUAUAGGGUUAUAGAGCUAUCACCUUGCUAUCAUUCUACUUACCUCGGCCCCAAGUUCAGUUAUGUUUCUUUGAAGUUAUCGGCAGUCGAUAUUAUAUUUCAAUUGUGGCUUCAAUUUCAUGCGGCAAGAAUUACAAACAAACUACGAUUUCCUAAUUUAAGAAUUAUUAUUCAAAUAAAACAAAAUUACACAAAAAAAAUUAUUAUCAAACUUAUCUAACGACCGUCUGGUGUAGUGGUAAGUGACAUGGUCGCUACACAAGGGGGUCGCGGGUUCGAAUCCCGCCAAGGGAAGAUAUUUGUAUGAUAAAUAUAAAUGUCUUUUCCAGGGUUUGGAAUUCCAGGGGAUGUAUAUUAAAUAUAUGUAUGUGUAUUGUGGCGGGUAGCCAUCAUACGACGCAAGAUAAUUGACAGAUGCCUGAAUCUCGCUUACGACAUUUUCAAGAUAAAGCGCAUAUAUACAAGUUCCGAACAACAACAUUCGGACCGUCGGUCUACCGAGCAAUAUCAUCCGCUCGGUGGAAGAUCUUCCUUUCGUCGUUAAGACUCCCCAAACUGGUGACCCCGACGGAACAAUCGCAGCUUUCUGAUUCAUCUUCAGCGCAUCAAGAACUCCGGCUACCACAAUCCCCGCAUUCUCGCAGAUAAAAGCACGUCAUUGACAGUCGUCCCACAGCAAGCCAGCAUCGCAGCCUCAACAGGACCAUCGCAGCCGACUCACCGCGCUUCCUGGUCCUACGGCACGCAACUUCACUGGCUCAUCACGCCGCAACAGUUCAUCGCAGCCCACGACCGGAUCAUCAACGCUUGGGGUCACACAUCUCCGGCGUGGCAGCUCUGCACACAUGGACUACUGGCGACACGCACGCAGCAUUCAAGCUCAGUCUCGACUCACCGCAGACUUCGAGCAGCACUGGCGACACGCACGCAGCAUUCAAGCUCAGCCUCGACUCACCGCAGGCUUCGAGCAGCACUGGCCCUUGCAAGCUAAUCUCAGCACGGACAACGCUAAUUAAAAAAAAAAAAAAAUGACACGACCUUCAGUCUCGGAGGGGAGUGAUGUGGCGGGUAGCCAUCAUACGACGCAAGAUAAUUGACAGAUGCCUGAAUCUCGCUUACGACAUUUUCAAGAUAAAGCGCAUAUAUACAAGUUCCGAACAACAACAUUCGGACCG